AAAGGAGAUUCUUGACAGAAAACCGUUGGCAGCUCAAAGGGCGGUUCAGAAGGCAGUUUGCAGUUGGCAGUUCGGAUAGUUCGGUUCAGCUCUUCUGUUAGAAAACUGAUUGAAUCAAAUUACAGCGGAGAAGGUCAGACGGCAUCUUUGAAGCAAAAGCUGUAUCCUCUUCUUUGGAGUUCUCUGUCAGAAGGGAAAUUUUGCAUCAGGAAUAGAAAACUCUCGCUGUAUUUUUUAAUGCAGCAAAAACAAUGUAUGUUUACAGGCCCUGCUCUUCAUAGUUUAUGGGGUUUACAUUCUGCUUUGGAAAUAAUUUUCUUAAAAAUAUCGUGUUUCCC